AGCAGGCAAGGAGGGCCAGGCUGCACAGAGUCCCGCCUGGGGUCUGGCAAGCCUCGGGGUGAAGCUCGGGAUCCAAGCAGGCAUCUUCUUCGAAACACAAAUGGUUAAAGAGAAAUAGAAGCGAAACAUGGCUUUGAUGUCUACUCAGCUGCAAAUGUGAUCUGUAUUCGUCAUGCUCUGAAGCUCCAGCCCAUCUCUACACCGCCACCAGGACCCAUUACUCGGCUCCGGGGACGUAUUGGGUGGCUUCUCGGGGCCUGGGGAAAGAAAUGGGAGUUUGUAGGCAAGCGUAUGCGUUUCAGACUUGUGUGUCAAUGGCCACAAACUUCCUGCCUGGGCACAUACGGACGCCUGAGUACAGAGUGCCACAGGAUUCAUUUUUGUGGGCUGUGUGGACAUCCGGCUCUCGGAAUGGGAAUAUCCAAGUCGUCUUUCGGAUGCCCAGAGGAAGGGUAUACACACGACUGGCAUCAGCGAAGGACGCACCUUAUUGCUGCAAAU